rnacentral:lncRNA from 1 species
AAACAAAUGGAUUAAUGAUUUUGAUUUUCAAAAAGGAUUUAUUUCAAAGAUAUGGUGAGUAAAUAUUUGUUUAUAAAAUGAACCUGUUGAUCCAACAUGACUUGUUACAAUUAGAUGAUAUACAUGAAUUACAUACACAAUAGAAAUUACAUGCAGGGAGUUGAGAGCAGUGUACAUAUUAUUAUUCAAUCGGUAGUAAAGAGGUCACUGCACUGACCUGACCACACAAAAUAUAUAUUUAUAUACAAAAAAUGUCACACAUAGUAGAAAAGGCUUCGUUUUUCGUAUUUGGUUUAAGACAUUUGAGCAAAAAUUGCAUUUCAUGUUUUAUCAUAUUUAAAAUCACCGAUUUACUUAUCCCUUUCUUUUGAUAUUUUGCGAUAUUUCUAGUUUUCCAG